rnacentral:rRNA from 1 species
GACGAGCGCUGGCGGCGUGCCUAAUACAUGCAAGUUGAGCGAUGAAGAUUGGUGCUUGCACCAAUUUGAAGAGCAGCGAACGGGUGAGUAACGCGUGGGGAAUCUGCCUUUGAGCGGGGGACAACAUUUGGAAACGAAUGCUAAUACCGCAUAACAACUUUAAACAUAAGUUUUAAGUUUGAAAGAUGCAAUUGCAUCACUCAAAGAUGAUCCCGCGUUGUAUUAGCUAGUUGGUGAGGUAAAGGCCCGCCAAGGCGAUGAUACAUAGCCGACCUGAGAGGGUGGUCGGCCACAUUGGGACUGGGACACGGCCCCAACUCCUACGGGAGGCAGCCGUAGGGAAUCUUCGGCCAUGGACGAAAGUCUGACCGAGCACCGCCGCGUGAGUGAAGAAGGUUUUCGGAUCGUAAAACUCUGUUGGUAGAGAAGAACGUUGGUGAGAGUGGAAAGCUCAUCAAGUGACGGUAACUACCCAGAAAGGGACGGCUAACUACGUG